GACGAACGCUGGCGGCGUGCUUAACACAUGCAAGUCGAACGAGAAGAGAUGAGAAGCUUGCUUCUUAUUAAUUCGAGUGGCAAACGGGUGAGUAACGCGUAAGCAACCUGCCCUUCAGAUGGGGACAACAGCUGGAAACGGCUGCUAAUACCGAAUACGUCUUUUUGUCGCAUGGCAGAGGGAAGAAAGGGAGGCUCUUCGGAGCUUUCGCUGAAGGAUGGGCCUGCGUCUGAUUAGCUAGUUGGUGAGGUAACGGCUCACCAAGGCAACGAUCAGUAGCCGACCUGAGAGGGUAAUCGGCCACAUUGGAACUGAGACACGGUCCAAACUCCUACGGGAGGCAGCAGUGGGGAAUAUUGCACAAUGGGGGAAACCCUGAUGCAGCAACGCCGCGUGAAGGAAGAAGGCCCUUGGGUCGUAAACUUCUGUCCUAAGGGAAGAUAAUGACGGUACCUUUGGAGGAAGCCCCGGCUAACUACGUG
rnacentral:rRNA from 1 species